CUGAGGAUUAUUAUUUAAAGUCCUGCCAGGAGGCGUAUUCGUUAAAUAGUUAGUCCGUUUCUCCCCGACGGCUCAGAUAACCGGCUGCUGCUUAGUAAAUAAUAAUUUGUGAUAAUUUAUUACCAAAGUUCCUAAUAAACCCAUAAAACCCGCUCUGUUUACAUAUAUAGAGUGUAAGCUCCCAGGAACAGGGCCCUAUCCACAUGGUGACCCUGUUUACCAUCACUAGUUUUUUAUUAUCCCUCAUUGUAGAACGCCAUGGAAUAUUAAUGAGAAUACUAGACUAAAAAUAUUUUUCACUGAAACAAACACCUUAAAAUAUAUAUAAUCAGAAAUGAUCUGUGCAGCACCUUAUCGUAUUUGUAAAAAGGCCUAUAAUUUGUAUUGAUUCUCCAGCAGUUUUUUUUUGUUUGUUUUUUUUCUAUUCAAUUUAAUUCAAUUUUUUUUUUGUUAGGUUCUAAGAACCGUUUCC